rnacentral:rRNA from 1 species
AUGAACGCUGGCGGCGUGCCUAAUACAUGCAAGUCGAACGAGUUCUGAUUAUUGAAAGGUGCUUGCAUCUUGAUUUAAUUUUGAACGAGUGGCGGACGGGUGAGUAACACGUGGGUAACCUGCCCUUAAGUGGGGGAUAACAUUUGGAAACAGAUGCUAAUACCGCAUAAAUCCAAGAGCCGCAUGGUUCUUGGCUGAAAGAUGGCGUAAGCUAUCGCUUUUGGAUGGACCCGCGGCGUAUUAGCUAGUUGGUGAGGUAACGGCUCACCAAGGCAAUGAUACGUAGCCGAACUGAGAGGUUGAUCGGCCACAUUGGGACUGAGACACGGCCCAAACUCCUACGGGAGGCAGCAGUAGGGAAUCUUCCACAAUGGACGCAAGUCUGAUGGAGCAACGCCGCGUGAGUGAAGAAGGCUUUCGGGUCGUAAAACUCUGUUGUUGGAGAAGAAUGGUCGGCAGAGUAACUGUUGUCGGCGUGACGGUAUCCAACCAGAAAGCCACGGCUAACUACGUGCCAGCAGCCGCGGUAAUACGUAGGUGGCAAGCGUUAUCCGGAUUUAUUGGGCGUAAAGCGAGCGCAGGCGGUUUUUUAAGUCUGAUGUGAAAGCCCUCGGCUUAACCGAGGAAGUGCAUCGGAAACUGGGAAACUUGAGUGCAGAAGAGGACAGUGGAACUCCAUGUGUAGCGGUGAAAUGCGUAGAUAUAUGGAAGAACACCAGUGGCGAAGGCGGCUGUCUGGUCUGUAACUGACGCUGAGGCUCGAAAGCAUGGGUAGCGAACAGGAUUAGAUACCCUGGUAGUCCAUGCCGUAAACGAUGAAUGCUAGGUGUUGGAGGGUUUCCGCCCUUCAGUGCCGCAGCUAACGCAUUAAGCAUUCCGCCUGGGGAGUACGACCGCAAGGUUGAAACUCAAAGGAAUUGACGGGGGCCCGCACAAGCGGUGGAGCAUGUGGUUUAAUUCGAAGCAACGCGAAGAACCUUACCAGGUCUUGACAUCUUUUGAUCACCUGAGAGAUCAGGUUUCCCCUUCGGGGGCAAAAUGACAGGUGGUGCAUGGUUGUCGUCAGCUCGUGUCGUGAGAUGUUGGGUUAAGUCCCGCAACGAGCGCAACCCUUAUGACUAGUUGCCAGCAUUUAGUUGGGCACUCUAGUAAGACUGCCGGUGACAAACCGGAGGAAGGUGGGGAUGACGUCAAAUCAUCAUGCCCCUUAUGACCUGGGCUACACACGUGCUACAAUGGAUGGUACAACGAGUUGCGAGACCGCGAGGUCAAGCUAAUCUCUUAAAGCCAUUCUCAGUUCGGACUGUAGGCUGCAACUCGCCUACACGAAGUCGGAAUCGCUAGUAAUCGCGGAUCAGCACGCCGCGGUGAAUACGUUCCCGGGCCUUGUACACACCGCCCGUCACACCAUGAGAGUUUGUAACACCCGAAGCCGGUGGCGUAACCCUUUUAGGGAGCGAGCCGUCUAAGGUGGGACAAAUGAUUAGGGUG